UUCAAAUUUCUCUUUCCUUUUUUAGCAGGAGUAUUUUACUCUCUGGUUAAAUCGCAGAGUAUGAUACUCUUUGAUUAUUGUAUCUCUUCUCUCUGGUUAUAAUCACAGACUACCCACCUGUUGUAAUCUGUGGAUAUAAUCUUUGUGAUAUAAUCGUUAUAAUUACGAUCUUAGUUACCUUCGUCAAAGAUCGCUAAUGCUCCUGCGCGCCGGUCUUAUUGCGAUACGUUUCGAGUUUCGACACGUUUUCGAUACGAUUCUAGAAUUUUCCGGUGCUUUCCUGUGAUUUUCGACGAUUUCGAAUGAAUUUUCAACAGAUUGGAGAAAAGAAUUAAUUCCACUUGGACAAAAUCAACUACGGCAACUUAAGAUGGAAAACAAUAAAUUCCAGAUUAUCGGCAAAGCAAGAUUUUCCUCUGAAAAUUUUUUCAGGGGACUUAGAAGAAAGAAAAUCAAGAUGAUGACGAUCAGAGGGGAAGGAAUUACGCCAUCAAUGGACACUUCAGAUGAAUAAGAUAAAAGUGGAGGCUUGUGAUCAUUACGGAGAUAAAGCGAGAGAAAAGAAGUGAUUCCACUUGGACAAAAUUAUCCGUAAGAAAAUUUUCAGCUGCUCCAAUGGUAACGGAUAGCGAGACGACAAGAUUUUCUUGAAAGGUUAGAAAAGGAACGGAAUGGAGCAACCAGAGUCGAGUUAUGAAGUGGGAAAUCUUCACAAUUCAAACAUCCGAUUUGUUGAAAAUAUUCAAAGGUGACUAAUGGUUCGGUGAUCUCGUUCCUGCGUGGGGAGAACUCGAAGGAAUACAAACUGUAAGAUUAUUUAUUUUAGUUUUAGCAGAUAGAUAGAACGCUCGGUAAUUUCUCCAAAUUUAACUUACAUGCGGCUAUUUCUACUAUUGAUAUUAUACUCAGGGAGAUAGAUAUCGGUCACCGGAGACUAAUAAAUAGCAAAAUUCGAAAGUCAUCAUUAUUAUAGCGACAGAUAUUUGAACAAAAUAUAAUUUUUAUUUUCAGUAUUUAAUAUUAAAUGACUGAGGAUUGUCUACUGGUCUCUGAGGACUGAUAUCGCAUUGUGAAGCGGUCAACAUGUUGAUAUUUUGUGAUAAGAUACAAAUUUCAGUUUUAGUUUAUGGCACUCCAGGGCGUUUCAGAAAAAAAUAACCAAAAAACUUUUCAUUUCGAUUUCCCAUAAGAAUAACACAGGAAAAUUUUUUUUUCUUCUGAUUUUUAAGACUGAUGAACGAUAAAUUGCGUUGCAAUAUCCUUUCUAUAUUUUGUAGAGAAUUUAACGCUCUACAAAAAAGGUCUGAUGUAAUUUUCGAUAAAUGAACUCAAUCGAGAGUUUUCUUUAUAAUACUCUCAAAUUUAUAAGUUUACAGUUUUCACAACAAACUGAUAUUUUAUUUCUAAAUUCUCAAAGUUGAAAAAAAUGAUUCCAAUUGAUGCUAAUUUUCAAUAACAAGAAUUUUCAAAAUUGUUAACAGUCAUUGAUAAUUUGUUUUAAGUCUAUCUUCACUAUAUAACAGAUUUAUAACGCUUAACAGUCUUCAGAGGUCUGAUUUAUAUUUUGUAAAAUGUUUUGGUCUCAUUUUUCUAAAAACAUAAUAUUUUGGCGAAUCAUUCAUAAAAAUUGAGGGUAAAUUAAACAUUGCCCUUGAAUAACUUUCAACUGAGUUCAUUUAUUGAAAAAUGACAUCAGACCUUUUUUGUAGAGCGUUUAAUUCCCUACAAAAUAUAGAAAGGAUAUUGCAAUGCAAUUUA